rnacentral:rRNA from 1 species
AUUGUAGGCUGCAACUCGCCUACAUGAAGUCGGAAUUGCUAGUAAUCGCGGAUCAGCAUGCCGCGGUGAAUACGUUCCCGGGCCUUGUACACACCGCCCGUCACACCAUGGGAGUCGGUAACACCCGAAGCCUGUAGUCUAACCGCAAGGGGGACGCAGUCGAAGGUGGGAUUGAUGACUGGGGUGAAGUCGUAACAAGGUACC